AUUGAACGCUGGCGGCAGGCUUAACACAUGCAAGUCGAGCGAGCGGCGGACGGGUGUGCAAUGUCUGGGAACCUGCUUGAUGGCGGGGGAUAACUACUGGCAACGGUAGCUAAUACCGCAUACCAUCAUAUGUGCCCAGAUGGGAUUAGCUAGUAGGUGGGGUAAUGGCACACCUCGCCGACGAUCCCUCGCGGGUCUGAGCGGAUGACCAGACACACUGGAACUGAGACACGGUCCAGACUCCUACGCGAGGCAGCAGUGGGGAAUAUUGCACAGUGGGCGCGAGCCUGACGCAGCCAUGCCGCGUGUGUUAAAGGAGCCUUCGGGUUGUAAAGCACUUUCAUCGAGGAGGCGUUACUCGCAGAAGAAGCACCGGCUAACUCCGUGCCAGCAGCCGCGGUAAUAC
rnacentral:rRNA from 1 species